CCUUGGGCUUCGCCCAAGGCUGGUAUGGGACGCGCCUUCAGCGCU
rnacentral:sRNA from 1 species